rnacentral:rRNA from 1 species
GAUGAACGCUGGCGGCGUGCCUAAUACAUGCAAGUCGAGCGAACGGACGAGAAGCUUGCUUCUCUGAUGUUAGCGGCGGACGGGUGAGUAACACGUGGAUAACCUACCUAUAAGACUGGGAUAACUUCGGGAAACCGGAGCUAAUACCGGAUAAUAUUUUGAACCGCAUGGUUCAAAAGUGAAAGACGGUCUUGCUGUCACUUAUAGAUGGAUCCGCGCUGCAUUAGCUAGUUGGUAAGGUAACGGCUUACCAAGGCAACGAUGCAUAGCCGACCUGAGAGGGUGAUCGGCCACACUGGAACUGAGACACGGUCCAGACUCCUACGGGAGGCCGCAGUAGGGAAUCUUCCGCAAUGGGCGAAUGCCUGACGGAGCACCGCCGCGUGAGUGAUGAAGGUCUUCGGAUCGUAAAACUCUGUUAUUAGGGAAGAACAUAUGUGUAAGUAACUGUGCACAUCUUGACGGUACCUAAUCAGAAAGCCACGGCUAACUACGUG